UAGAAAUCCAAAAAAGCAAAACUUUCCCAACUUCCCUAUUUCAACUUAACUUUGAAUCCCCAGGCUGAUAUCUCUUUAAACUCAAAUUAGUAGCCUCUCUUUAUAGUCGUAGCUGAUAAUGAAGGCAUAAUCUUUCCCCUUUAGACAUGAAUUCUGGAGCUCCUCCUCCUCCCUGCUAGCUCUUUCCACAGCUACCAACUUUUCUUGAGUCAAGUCUAUUUCUCACACUUUUUCUAUGUACUGCUAUUAGAAUAGUCCUCAAGUGCUCUAUGAUGUUAUUUCCUUACUCAAAAACUUAGAAUUGUUCUCUAUAGUUCAACUUCCUCUCCAUCUCUGUGUGAUGGUUAAUUUUGCGUCAACCUGAUUGGGCCACAGGGUGCCCAGAUACUUGGUCAAACAUUAUUCUGUUUUUGUGAAGGUGUUUUUUGGAUGAGAUUAACAUUUAAAUUGGUAGACUAGACAAAGCAGAUAAUCUAGGAUUGGCAUCCAAUCAUUUCAAGGCCUGAAUAGAACAAAAGGCUGAUCUUCCUCAGAAUAAGUGAAAAUUAUCCUGCCUGAUGGGCCUCAAACUAUACCAUUUGCUCUUCCUGGUUCUAUAGCAGCUUCCAGCCUUUGGACUUGAAAGCGGAUACAAGCUCUACAGAUUUUGGACUAGCCAGUGUCCAUAAUCCCAUGAUAGGUAUCUCCUAUUAGUUCUGUUUUUCUGAAGAUCACUGACUAAUAUACUGUUUACCCAACUCUGUAGUACCAUUUCAUAAGAUUUUUUUUUUUUUUUUUGACAGUGUCUUGCUCUAUCACCCAGGCUGGAGUGGAAUGGUGCAAACAAAGUUCACUGCACCCUCAACCUCCUGGGCUCAAGUGAUCCUCCUACCUCAGCCUCCUGAGUAGCUGGAACCACAAGUAUGCGCCACCAUGCCUUGCUAGUUUUUUAAAUGUUUGUAGAGAAAAAGUCUAACCAUGUUGCCCAGGCUCCCAGAUCGUUUAUUAGACCUCAAAAUAUUCUCUACUACAAUGAAAUAAAUCCAUUUGUCAACUUCUACCCAAUUUGCAUAAUUCCACUGAAAUGCUUUUAUUAAAUAACUGAUAUGCAUUUGUACCACCUACAUUUGCCUCUCACAUAUAUCUCUCCAGCUAGGAUGUUAACUACUUU
rnacentral:lncRNA from 10 species